CCAAUUUCCCGCCUACAGAUCGCGCUCGUUAGGGCGUCUUCUUACGGUCAUCGGAGCUAGGAUUCGCAGUCGCUCAUCGAACGUUGCGCUGGAGAGAACUUGAAGACGACGAGCUCUGGCGGAUCGAUCCCUCGGCUCUCAUCAAUGGCCACGAAAUCUCGUUUCAUCGCCGUGAGCGGUUUCAGGCGAAGAUCGGGCCCUCAAGGCUCCGGUAAUGAGCCUUUUCUCCGGUAGAGUUGGAUGCGAAAAUGGACCUCGGCACACAUAUCGCCAAAAAUGAGCUGGACCGUCGCGCAGGGGAGGUUACAUCAAGGAUUCAAGGGUCACCUUGUUCGGAAUGGCAAGAGGACUUGGGGAACUUCGUUUGAUGGUCAGAUGAGAGUUUGGGCUGCUUUUGGAUCGAAGAGAAACCUGAUGAGAGUGUGGAGAACGAGGUGGAAAUGGCGGACGAGGUGGAUGGACUG